rnacentral:rRNA from 1 species
AUCUUGCACAAUGGAGGAAACUCUGAUGCAGCGAUGCCGCGUGAGUGAAGAAGGCCUUUGGGUUGUAAAGCUCUUUCGUCGGGGAAGAAAAUGACUGUACCCGAAUAAGAAGGUCCGGCUAACUUCGUGCCAGCAGCCGCGGUAAUACGAAGGGACCUAGCGUAGUUCGGAAUUACUGGGCUUAAAGAGUUCGUAGGUGGUUAAAAAAGUUGAUGGUGAAAUCCCAGAGCUUAACUCUGGAACUGCCAUCAAAACUUUUUAGCUAGAGUAUGAUAGAGGAAAGCAGAAUUUCUAGUGUAGAGGUGAAAUUCGUAGAUAUUAGAAAGAAUACCAAUUGCGAAGGCAGCUUUCUGGAUCAUUACUGACACUGAGGUGCGAAAGCAUGGGUAGCGAAGAGGAUUAGAUACCCUCGUAGUCCAUGCCGUAAACGAUGUGUGCUAGACGUUGGAAAUUUAUUUUCAGUGUCGCAGCGAAAGCAUUAAGCACACCGCCUGGGGAGUACGACCGCAAGGUUAAAACUCAAAUGAAUUGACGGGGACCCGCACAAGUAGUGGAGCAUGUGGUUUAAUUCGAAGAUACGCGCAGAACCUUACCAACACUUGACAUGUUCGUCGCGACUCUAAGAGAUUAGAGUUUUCGGUUCGGCCGGACGAAACACAGGUGCUGCAUGGCUGUCGUCAGCUCGUGUCGUGAGAUGUUGGGUUAAGUCCCGCAACGAGCGCAACCCUUACUUUUAGUUGCCAUCAUUUAGUUGGGCACUCUGAAAGAACUGCCAGUGAUAAGCUGGAGGAAGGUGGGGAUGACGUCAAGUCCUCAUGGCCCUUACGGGCUGGGCUACACACGUGCUACAAUGGUAUCUACAACAGGAAGCAAAAAAGCGAUGCUAAGCAAAUCACGACAAGAUUCCUACGUUCGGAUUACACUCUU